AGCAGCCGCGGUAAUUCCAGCUCCAAUAGCGUAUAUUAAAGUUGCUGCAGUUAAAAAGCUCGUAGUUGAAUUUCGGGACCGAUAUAUCGGUCGUGCCUCGGUACGUACUGGUAUUUUCGGUUUCUACCUUCUGACGAACCUUGAUGUCAUUAAUUUGGUGUCUUGGGAAAUCAGGACUGUUACUUUGAAAAAUUAGAGUGUUUAAAGCAGGCUCACGCUUGAAUACAUUAGCAUGGAAUAAUGAAAUAGGACGUUUGAUUCUAUUUUGUUGGUUUCUAGGAUCGACGUAAUGAUUAAUAGGGAUAGUUGGGGGCAUUAGUAUUCAAUUGUCAGAGGUGAAAUUCUUGGAUUUAUUGAAGACUAACUACUGCGAAAGCAUUUGCCAAGGAUGUUUUCAUUAAUCAAGAACGAAAGUUAGGGGAUCGAAGACGAUCAGAUACCGUCGUAGUC
rnacentral:rRNA from 1 species